UACAGAGGUCUCAAGCGUUGUUCGGAUUCAUUGGGCGUAAAGGGCUCGUAGGCGGUCCAUCACGUCGGGAGUGAAAAGCUGGGGCUUAACCCCAGUCCUGCUUCCGAUACGGGUGGACUAGAGGUAGGUAGGGGAGAACGGAAUUCCUGGUGUAGCGGUGAAAUGCGCAGAUAUCAGGAGGAACACCGGUGGCGAAGGCGGUUCUCUGGGCCUUACCUGACGCUGAGGAGCGAAAGCGUGGGGAGCAAACAGG
rnacentral:rRNA from 1 species